UKGAUGAGCCCGCGGCCUAUCAGCUUGUUGGUGAGGUAGUGGCUCACCAAGGCGACGACGGGUAGCCGGCCUGAGAGGGCGACCGGCCACACUGGGACUGAGACACGGCCCAGACUCCUACGGGAGGCAGCAGUGGGGAAUAUUGCACAAUGGGCGAAAGCCUGAUGCAGCGACGCCGCGUGAGGGAUGACGGCCUUCGGGUUGUAAACCUCUUUCAGCAGGGAAGAAGCGAAAGUGACGGUACCUGCAGAAGAAGCGCCGGCUAACUACGUGCCAGCAGCCGCGGCGG
rnacentral:rRNA from 1 species